rnacentral:rRNA from 1 species
UACGUAGGGUGCAAGCGUUUGUCCGGAAUUAUUGGGCGUAAAGAGCGCGCAGGCGGCUUGGCAAGUCGGGUGUGAAAUCCCGGGGCUCAACCCUGGGACUGCAUUCGAUACUGUCAGGCUAGAGGUAGGUAGGGGAGAGUCGGGAAUUCCUGGUGUAGCGGUGAAAUGCGCAGAUAUCAGGAGGAACACCGGUGGCGAAGGCGGAUCUCUGGGCCUUACCUGACGCUCAGGCGCGAAAGCUAGGGGAGCGAACAGG